UACGUAGGAGACGAGCGUUGUCCGGAAUUACUGGGCGUAAAGCGCGUGUAGGCGGAUGAGCAAGUCUGCUGUGAAAGCUCCUGGCUUAACCGGGAGUGGUCGGUGGAAACUGCUCGUCUGGAGGACGGUAGAGGUAGGUAGAAUUUCCGGUGUAGUGGUGAAAUGCGUAGAGAUCGGGAGGAAUACCUGUGGCGAAGGCGGCCUACUGGGCCGGACCUGACGCUGAGACGCGAAGGCGUGGGGAGCGAACGGG
rnacentral:rRNA from 1 species